rnacentral:rRNA from 1 species
CUNANCCAGCCAUGCCGNGNGCAGGAAGACUGGCCCUAUGGGUUGUAAACUGCUUUUAUACAGGAAGAAAAAGCCCGACGUGUCAGGUGUUGACGGUACUGUACGAAUAAGGAUCGGCUAACUCCGUGCCAGCAGCCGCGGUAAUACGGAGGAUCCAAGCGUUAUCCGGAAUCAUUGGGUUUAAAGGGUCCGUAGGCGGGACAAUAAGUCAGUGGUGAAAGUUUGUGGCUCAACCAUAAAAUUGCCAUUGAUACUGUUGUUCUUGAGUGCUUGUGAAGUGGUUAGAAUGAGUAGUGUAUCGGUGAAAUGCAUAGAUAUUACUCAGAAUACCGAUUGCGAAGGCAGAUCACUAACAAUACACUGACGCUGAUGGACGAAAGCGUAGGUAGCGAACAGGAUUAGAUACCCUGGUAGUCUACGCCGUAAACGAUGGUUACUAGCUGUUCGGGUCAAUUGCGAUCUGAGUGGCUAAGCGAAAGUGAUAAGUAACCCACCUGGGGAGUACGUUCGCAAGAAUGAAACUCAAAGGAAUUGACGG